rnacentral:rRNA from 1 species
UAAUCUUAUAUCUGGUUGGUAACUUAUUUAUCGAAUUGUGAGGAAAGUUGAUUGUGUUGAUUUUCUAAAGCAGAGAUUUUAAUUUUGUUUAAGGGUAGGCUUAGAUUAAGAUUGUCUUUGGAUAAGGAAGUUAUUUACAUAGCUUUGUUGAUUAUAAUGAUAAGAUCUUGCUUAAGUUGGUAGUUACUCUUGUAAUUGGUUGUCGGAUGAUGAAGGAAUUAGUAGGUUUAUAAUUAAAAUAGUUAUUAUUUUUUUCGGUGAUGCUUUCGACUGUUUAUUAAAAACAUUUCUAUCUGAUGAGGUUUAGAUAGUAUGACCUGCUCGAUGAAAAUGAACAUGAAUGGCCGCAGCUUUAGCUGUGCUAAGGUAGCAUAAUAUAUAGUUUUUUGAUUGGAGACUUGUGAAUGGUCGAACGAAAGGUGUCUAAAAUGAUAAUUAUGUCUGAAUUUAGUUUAAGUGGUGAGGAACCCAUUUUUUGAUUAUAGGACGGAAAGACCCCAAGAGUUUUACUAUUUAUUUAGUUUUAUUUGGGGUAAAUGUGUAUAAUUCAUUUAUUUUAUGAUCCUAUAGGAUAGAGGAUAAAAUUACCUUGGGGAUAACUGAGUAAAGAGCAGUGAGAGAUCGUAUUGAGCUGUUUGUUACUACCUCGAUGUUGGCUUGUUGUACCUAUUUGGUGUAGAGGCUAAAUUUAGGAAGUCUGUUCGACUAUUAAUUCUUCAUGAGCUGAGUUAAGA